rnacentral:rRNA from 1 species
GACGAACCGUGCGAACGUUGUUCGGGAUCACUGGGCUUAAAGGGCGCGUAGGCGGCUCUGUUGGUCGUGGGUGAAAUCCCCCAGCUUAACUGGGGAAGUGCUUACGAUACCGCGGAGCUCGAGGGAGGAAGGGGCGGCCGGAACUGUCGGUGGAGCGGUGAAAUGCGUUGAUAUCGACAGGAACGCCGGUGGCGAAAGCGGGCCGCUGGCCCUCUUCUGACGCUGAGGCGCGAAAGCCAGGGGAGCGAACGGG